rnacentral:rRNA from 1 species
UACGUAGGUGACAAGCGUUGUCCGGAUUUACUGGGCGUAAAGAGCGCGCAGGCGGUCGAUCAAGUCGAGUGUGAAAGCCCCCGGCUCAACUGGGGAGGGUCAUUCGAUACUGAUCGACUCGAAGGCAGGAGAGGGUAGUGGAAUUCCCGGUGUAGUGGUGAAAUGCGUAGAUAUCGGGAGGAACACCAGAGGCGAAGGCGGGCUACUGGGCUGAUACUGACGCUGAUGCGCGAAAGCUAGGGGAGCAAACGGG